rnacentral:tRNA from 1 species
CGCGGGAUGGAGAAGCGGUUAACUCACCAGGUUCUCACCCUGGAGAUCGUUGGUUCAAAUCCAACUCCCGCAACCA